rnacentral:rRNA from 1 species
UACGGAGGAUCCAAGCGUUAUCCGGAUUCAUUGGGUUUAAAGGGUGCGUAGGCGGAUUGGUAAGUCAGUGGUGAAAUCCUGCAGCUUAACUGUAGAAUUGCCGUUGAUACUGCCGGUCUUGAAUCUAGUUGAGGUGGAUGGAAUGUAUCAUGUAGCGGUGAAAUGCUUAGAUAUGAUACAGAACACCGAUCGCGUAGGCAGUUCACCAAACUAGUAUUGACGCUGAGGCACGAAAGCAUGGGGAGCAAACAGG